GAUGAACGCUGGCGGCGUGCCUAAUACAUGCAAGUCGAGCGAACGGACGAGAAGCUUGCUUCUCUGAUGUUAGCGGCGGACGGGAGAGUAACACGUGGAUAACCUACCUAUAAGACUGGGAUAACUUCGGGAAACCGGAGCUAAUACCGGAUAAUAUUUUGAACCGCAUGGUUCAAAAGUGAAAGACGGCCUUGCUGUCACUUAUAGAUGGAUCUGCGCUGCAUUAGAUAGUUGGUAAGGUAACGGCUUAUCAAGGCAACGAGGCGUAGCCGACCGGAGAGGGUGGUCGGCCGCACGGGAGCGGGGACGGCGACCAGGCGCCUGCGGGAGGGAGCAGAAGGGAAUCGUCGGCAACAGGCGAAAACCUUGCAGAGCGGCGCCGAGUGAGUGAUGGAGGUCUUGGGUUCGUGAAGCCCUGUUAUUGGGGAAGAACAGAUGUGGAAGGUACCGUGGAGAUCUUGACGGUACCGAAUAAGAAAGCCACGGCUAACUACGUG
rnacentral:rRNA from 1 species